rnacentral:tRNA from 1 species
GGUGAGAUAGUCAAGUGGCCAACGACGGUGGACUGUAAAUCCGCUCCCUUUGGGUUCAGAGGUUCGACUCCUCUUCCCACCACCA